CAAUCUUACCUUUCAAUUAUUGGAAGACCGUUUCGUUUAAACCGUUAAGUUAAAGUUUCUUUUAAAUCGUUAAGACCGUACGUACGUAACUCAAUUGGUUGAUGUGAGGUUUUAUGGAUACAGCCGUGAAGACUUCAGAAACUGGGUGGAAGCUAUGACGACGAGUGUGUGUUGUUGUUGGUCUCGUCAAAAUAGCCUUUCAUUAUGCCGAUUAAAAUCCGUCAGAUCUCUUUGAAGUACAACAAGCUUUUAAUGCAAUUAUGGAAACAAUCACUUGGAGUCAAAUUCAAACAAAACCUAUGCUCCAAUGGGACAUGUCGUAUGUUGUACGUGUAUAUAUCAAGUAUGUUAUGAUUUGCAGUGUCUCUCCGAAGCUUCUCUCAAAAGAAUAUGCUAAGCAAUCAACUCACGAAUCAUAUAAG